GAGAAAAAAGAAGGGAAGAAGUCCAAAGAGCAGGAACAAACCGUACACAUCUCCUCUGAUGCCAGCUGGUCUCAGCAGAAGCCGUUCUGGGGCGAGCCACUUGAGAGGUAUGGGUUGCUUCUUUCUGUCGGCAUAUUGAAAAGUGUAGCUCCCUUCUUGAACUGAGAACCGAGAGGAGGAAACAGCACGAUGAAGAAAGAGAUACAAAGGAGUAUGAAAUGGGGAGUACAGUGCAGCUCAAAUCUUCGCACAGAGUCUGGAGUCGAAUGACUAUAACUGAAAUUAAGCUAACUAUUUAACGUAAACUCUCCAAACCCUCAUGCAUAGGCACGAUGCAAGCAUAACGCCACGUCCCCUCUCUGUCUGUUUCAUUACACACAAAGACAGUUCUAUUUCCAAGAAUAGUGCAACCCCCACGAGCCACACUUCUGUCCAGUGAGCACAAUAGUCUCCCAGAUAUGAUCAGCAAUUUACUCAUGGGUGUCCAGAAGAAACUCAUCUUACCAAAAUACAUCUACAAAUAGAACUUUA